CGCGAGAAGUUAAUCGGUUGGAGACAGAGAAUGUCGAACGGAACGAGCUAACAGGGUUAGCUGAACUGCCGCCAUCUUGAGAGAGACGUCGGUCUCAUCCUUCACCUGCACGGAUGAGCUGCGACUGUGGUCGGUAGGGACUUCGGUUUACCCGGCGCUGAGGAUGGUCUGCUGCGAGGCACCGAGGAAAAGAGGUUAAAAAAAUAGCUGAUGUGAGUUUCCAGCUGUCUUCACAGCAG